AGCGAAAUUUAGUAGCGAAGUAGCUGAUUUCACACUGUCAAGAAAAGUCUCUAUCGAGGUUAAAGGUACCCGUACCGCAAACCGACACAGGUGGGGGAGGAGAGUAUCCUAAGGCCAGCGAGAGAACGGUUGUUAAGGAACUCGGCAAAAUGACCCCGUAACUUAGGGAUAAGGGGUGCCACCAUCAGGUGGCCGCAGAGAAUAGGCCCAAGCGACUGUUUAC
rnacentral:rRNA from 1 species